rnacentral:rRNA from 1 species
AUUGAGCGCUGGCGGCAUGCUUUACACAUGCAAGUCGAACGGUAACAGGGUGCUUGCACCGCUGACGAGUGGCGAACGGGUGAGUAAUGCGUCGGAACGUGCCGAGUAGUGGGGGAUAACGCAGCGAAAGUUGUGCUAAUACCGCAUACGUACUGAGGUAGAAAGUGGGGGACCUUCGGGCCUCACGCUAUUCGAGCGGCCGACGUCUGAUUAGCUAGUAGGUGAGGUAAAGGCUCACCUAGGCGACGAUCAGUAGCGGGUCUGAGAGGAUGAGCCGCCACACGGGGACUGAGACACGGCCCAGACUCCUACGGGAGGCAGCAGUGGGGAAUUUCGGACAAUGGGCGAAAGCCUGAUCCAGCCAUGCCGCGUGUCUGAAGAAGGCCUUCGGGUUGUAAAGGACUUUUGUCGGGGAGGAAAUCCCCAGCGCUAAUACCGCUGGGGGAUGACAGUACCUGAAGAAUAAGCACCGGCUAACUACGUGCCAGCCGCCGCCGUAACAC